rnacentral:rRNA from 1 species
UACGGGAGGUGCGAGCGUUGUUCGGAAUGACUGGGCGUAAAGCGCACGUAGGCGGGUCUUUAAGUCGUAUGUGAGAGCCCCGGGCUUAACCCGGGAAUUGCAUUCGAAACUGUAGAUCUUGAAUGCUUGAGAGGUUGAUGGAAUUCUAGGUGUAGGAGUGAAAUCCGUAGAUAUCUAGAGGAACACCAGAGGCGAAGGCGGUCAACUGGCGAUGCAUUGACGCUGAGGUGCGAAAGCGUGGGUAGCAAACAGG